CGGAAAUGAAAUUCCUGCUCAGCUGUGAAACCAUGGAACAGAUUGAAACCACCUGAAAUGUACAACAAUGAAGAGUAAAGAACCAGAGUUGACCCUACAAUAUGGAAUAUUUUCUGCUUCCAAGUGCUGCUGGAAAUCAUUGUACACCGUGCUGGGCGCUGGGUGCAGACAGGGCCAACGGGACCAACAGGACACAAGAGUCAACCAAUCUGCUUCUCAGAUACUAGCCUUGAAAUCUAAGUGUGGACCUGAGGAGAGGCGUUCCAUUCACACAGGCUGUUCAAGAGGAAUCAGUGGUCUGACAAAGUUAGCACGGUGUGGGGAAAGCCUGCAGCAAUUUCAACAUGCAGCAAAUGAUUUCACAAACGUCCUCAUGAUUUUUGGAUUUCCUUCUGCAUCCCGUUUGUGGAACGAUCAAGAAGAAGAAGAUGUGGUUUUUCACACAACAAGUGUGACCAUUGAGGGGCACCACUGAACGCCACAGGAGAUCCUUUCUCCCUGUGGCUAUAAGACUCUGCAGCUUCUCCUCCUUCAGCACAUAAAAUCUGCUCAUUACUCAUUCACACCUGAGUGCCGUGACAGAUUGUGCCCAGAUGUCAGGAACCAGCUUCCUAGAUGAUUCUGGAGGCUGUAGCUCUCCCAUUGGAAUGUGAAUCAUGCUGGACCAGAGAUCCCAGGCUGUACUCCGUUUCGGAAAGUUGCAAUUGGUCUUCGGUCAAGGACGAAAAGUAAAAGCUCAUCCAUAAAAUGUUGCUUUCCCACCCCAUCUUUGCUACUCCAUGGUAACACUUAUGAAUGUCCAGUUGUCAUGCGAGAAGGGAAAUGAAGCUGGUUAUUUAAAAAUGCAUCAAAUGCUGAUGUGUAAAUAGCUCCAGUGGCACAGUACUGUACAAUUUCCUGACUCGGCAUCUUCAGCAAAGAAGAGAGAACCCAGACAAAAAUCUAGAUGAUGACUAAGAUGGAGUGUUGAUGAAGAAAACUCUACCACUCCCUCUCAAAAUCCUCACCCAGGUGUGAAAUCACUUCCCAAAUACCUGAGCAAACACAACAUCCUUUAGAUGUUACAGGGCUAACUUUGAAAAUAACAAAUUAAUAUUUAAAAAAAUACUAGUGCAUGAGAGAUACCAGGAAACAAGACUUAGAACAUCCCAUACUCAGAAAAAACAUUACCACUCGCACUGAGAGUUUCUUUGUGACUGGAAUAAGCAUCAAAUAGUGCUCUUUCAGAUGAGGCUGGCAGAUAUAAAAUAUCCCUGGUAGAGAUAAAACAAACGGAAUGUCAAUGUGUCAAUAAAUUACACAAAAUGACAUGGGGCAAGUAAUCCAGGGAACAAAUUAUAAAACUCUUAUGUCAAUAUUGGGAGACUGAGAUUAUAUUCUCUUUAGCUUUCAACAGAAAGAACAUACCAUCUUUAAAAUGCACCAAAUGAAUGUUUGGAACUGCUUGCUUAUUGCUUCACCAGAUUGCGUCUUUGAUAUGGGAAAUUUGAAGGUAAAAACAUAUUGCAAAAUAGAGACUGGGAUUAUAAUGGAUUAAAUCGGUAUUAUUGGUUUCAAAGAGUUGAUUAUUUUUUCUCUCUCUAAAUCAAUAUUUCACGAUAAUAAAAGAUGUGAUGACUAUAAUGGAAAAGCAGUGAAGUCUGUAUCUUUGGAUUCAGAUACGGAAACAUUGACAUUAUUAAAUAACCCAGAGCACUGUGAAAUUGGCAAGCUUUUGGGUUAUUUACAAAGCAAAGAUUUCAACAACAGGGACAACAAGCAGAUGGUUAUAAUAGAGUAUUUGAACCAAUAGGCAUAUGGGACAUUUUCUGGCACAUACCAGAGACAUUGUUUAGUCUAAAUGGUAGUUAGCACAACUAAAAAGUAGCAAAAUAGGAACUCGUAAUCAGCUCUGGUUUAUUAGCUAAAAAUUUCCCUGACAGAAAUGUGGUCAUAAAUUACUGAGAUUUGUUAUGCUGAAGUUAAUACUUGACUGACGUUUCAGAGGUAUAAAACCAUGAGGGUGUAGACGGUCCUUUUGCCAGAGAAAGGGAAUCAGACACUAGGGGACGUGGUUUUAAGACGAGAGGGGAGUUUGAAAAGGGAGCCGAGGGCAAACGUUUUCAUUCAGAAUGUGUCUGUAUGUGGAGUGAGCCACCAGAGAAACUGGCUGAGGCAAAACAGCCACGUUUAAAACGUGGUUGCACCGGAGGAUCAAUAGAAGAGAUUUAGAGCAGUGAUUCCCAUUGGGGGUGAUGUCCUAAGGGGGCAUUAGGGGAAAUAGAAGUCAUCGAGGGGAAUUCAAGAUUCUUGGAGGGGGGGGCAGUAAAAGGCACCCUAACUUAAGACAUGAGACCUCACCGACCGUUAGUAGAGCAGGUAUAUCCAAACAAAAGGAAGAGGGACUGGAACACAGGAAGAACCACAGCUCUACAGGCGGUGAGUACGUUGUCACAACACCUCUGAAACUCAGCAAUCUCAUCCGACCUUACCAACCAAACAGACAUUAUUAGGGAUGCAUAAAUUAGCAACCAGGGUGCCCAACAGUUCCCCUUGACUGACAGCGCGGAACGAGUUCAUGCAAUUUAACAGUUGGUAAGUCAAGUACACCCUCGCAACUUUCUCUACAGAAAUACAGAAAACAGGUCGUGCAACAAUACAGUGCUGGCUGGAACCAAACGGUGAAAUAGAGCCAAUCAGUGAACUGCUGAUUCUGAGGAUUUCUCCUGAGGUGUUCAAAACGACUUCAGUUUCAUAUGUGCGGUCACGAACCAUCUUAGGAGAUUCUGGGUACUGAGGAUCAAAGUAUUUCGAUUAAGAACAUGAUUUCUUGUGCAACAGGGUGGAGCUCCAUAUAUGACAGGUCACCAUGCUGGUUUAGUGGUGUUCAUGAAAAAAGAAAUUUCAAGUCUAUUUGCAAACCAUUGUGUAAUUCAUCGUCAACAUCUCAUAGCCAAAAUCUUCAGGCAGUGACUUUUUUCAAGCAUGACUCUUGUAAUAUCUGCUAUCAACAAAAUUAAAGCUCAUCCAUUAAAUACCAGAAUAUUUCAUCAUUUAUGCCAAGAUAACAAAGAGUUUGAAUGCUUGCUUCUUCACACUGAAGUGCGUUGGUUGUCAAAAGGCUGCUGUUUAAAAUGUUUCGUUGAUCAUUUUGACAUUGUGGUUGAAUUUUUUGCUCAAAGUUGACAAGAGCUUGGGGAACAACAUCGAACUUCAAUGUGGAGGGAGACUGCGCCUGUCUGUAAAUGGAAUAGCUGCAGUUUUUGUGCUGCUCCCAGUUUUGUUCCUUUCCCCCUAGUUUAAAAUUUGAAUUUAAAAUUUUCAUUUGCUGAUUCUUGAAGGGGAACAAUAUGUCUAUGUGUACAAGGAGUGGGAAGAACUUUUCUGAACCUAGUAAUAAAGACAAUGGGAAAGGAAAGAUGAAAAAGGGAGGAUCUGAUGACAUGCCACCAUGGGCUGGAGAUUUAAUUGCUUACUUUGGUAAGCUUUUUCAUACCUUAUUUCCUACCAUAUUAUCACAGCCGCCUACUAUAGAAAGAGCACACAGAGCUUUUACUUCAAAAUCUAAAGAUCCAAAUAAACCAAGGUCUGUUCUGGUUUGUUUUCAUCACUUUAAAACUAAAGAUCAAAUAAUGCGACAGGCAAGAAAACAGAGUUUUCAGAUUUAAGGAAUCUGAGCUCCAUUUUUAUGAGGAUUAUCCGAAGGAGGUAAUGGAACAAAGAUCAAAAUUUGCUCUGGUAAUGAAACAGGCAUAUGAUAAGUAACUGUUCCCUUCCUUACGUUACCCGACAAGAAUUAAAGUUUUUUCUCCUAUUUCUCCUCCUCGUACAUUUUUUGAUCCUAAAGUUGCACUGGCGUUCGUUCAAACUAUACCUGCUGCAGCUGCCAAAUGAACUGUCUGGAAGACUGCUUGGUUAUCUGUAUAUUACUGGCAUUUCGGAAAGAAGAUUUAUGAAGUUUACUUGGACAUUUCACUGAGAGACUAUAAAAAAAAGAUAAGGUAGAUUUGUUCAUUAUUGCAUAUCAUUGUUUUUUUUGGAAAGAAGAUCUAUGGUUCAAGUAUGACUGUUUAAAUGGUUAUUCAGACGUUCGACUGAGAAAAAGAAGAUAAAGGGACUUGUUCCCUUAACCUAAUAUCUGGUUUGAUGUUUUUUUGUUUCUUUCUUAAUUAAUUAAUUGGUAGUUUUUCCUACUAAUGGGGCUAUAUAUAUAUAUAUAUGUGUGUGUGUGUAUAUAUAUAUAUAUAUAUAUUUAGGGGAGGGUUCAAUUACUUAUAUAAUACUACUAGUUGGUAUUUUUGAAAAUUUAGUUGGGCUAAAUAUGCUAUUAACUCCUUUUUGCUUUAUUAUAGGGUCUUAUAACGGAAUUUAAAGCUUAUUUUAGGGAUUUAAUGCUAAAUUUAAGAUGGUGCUGGUUUUUCUUUUUAAGAGAUAACAUUUUUUCAUUUUUUUCUUGUUUAAAAAAGAUUAAAUAUAAACAUGGGACAGUUUGUAGAUGCUGGAACGUAAACACUUUCCUUUGCUGAGUCUUUGUUGUUCCUCUUACAAGGUCAGUGGGUUUCUUUUUUUUUAACUGGUGUGACGAGAAUACACAUAAAUUAAGAUGUUUGCUGGCCUGGGCUAGCAUCAGUGGCAUCAGCAGUUGGUCUGCCACCUGUCCUCAGGGGAAGGAGAGAUAAGGAACAAUGAAGCAGCAUCUGGAGAUGUGUAAUGAAGGGACGGGAGAGAGAGCUGUUUAGAGCGGCUCCCCCUUUGAACCCUGAACUGUUUGAAGUGAUGGACAGGCGAUACCCCAGCAGGGGGAUAAAAAGGGACAGGUUCGCUAAGGCAGGACACACACGACACCCGAGGUAACGAGACCCUGGAAGCGGUGCGCCUCUCACAAGUCGGUGGAAAGCUCUUGGACGGCUGAUCGGGGAAUCAAGCCUUAAACGCACAGGGUGGAAAGGUACGAUCAGCGGGAACCCGGUGUGUGUCCACCCUUGCUUGGGUGCCGGGUUCACUGCAGAGGAUCGACCGCAUCUGGAGGAGGGGUCACAGUCGGUGACCUCAGGUGACAUCACAAAGGACCCGCCUGAAAGCUGCUUGUGAGCAAUAUCGCCGGUCUGUGAGUGGAAGCCGUUCUGAAUGAUCAGUCGUUCUCGUUCUCUCUCUCUCUCUCCCCCCACGUUGUCCAUCGCCAUGGCAAUGAUUACUGCGAACUGAACUAAAUCGAACUGGACUUUUGUGUCACUUUGAAAUUGGUCAUUUACCCCUAGACAACGAUAGAGCUUGAUUGAUGCUGUUAUCUUAAUUCUGUGCACAUGUGUGUUUAUCAUUGCUGAACUGUUGCAUUUAUUAUCCUUUCGAUUACUGUGUUACUUGUUUCUUUAAUAAA